rnacentral:rRNA from 1 species
GACGAACCGAGCGAACGUUGUUCGGAAUCACUGGGCUUAAAGGGCGCGUAGGCGGGCUGUCAAGUCUGGGGUGAAAUCCCGCGGCUCAACCGUGGAACUGCCUCAGAUACUGACGGUCUCGAGGGAGGUAGGGGCGAGCGGAACUGAUGGUGGAGCGGUGAAAUGCGUUGAUAUCAUCAGGAACUCCGGUGGCGAAGGCGGCUCGCUGGACCUUUUCUGACGCUGAGGCGCGAAAGCUAGGGGAGCAAACGGGG